GAAAACCUGCGAUAAAGAAUGCAAGUACUGAACAGAGCCUCAGCCCUGCAUUAUGUAGAAGUUGAUGCCUCUUAAACCUCACAGCUAAACCCAGAAAAAACCAGGUGAAGCCUUGUAAUAAGACCACUAGCCAGCCAUGCAGAGGUAGAAUGGUGUUCUCUUCACUCAGCUUCUCUCCCACAAUCCAGAACCCCAAACCGAGAUAAACCAACCCUAAACUACCAUUAAGAAAGGCAGCAGAAUUUAGCAUUGUGGAAAAGCAUCUAGACUGUUGAGGGGAUAAGAUCUUCAUAGCUGAUGCUUUAUAUAUGAAGAUAAAUAAUAAGUAGAGCAAGACGAUGAUGUCAACAGAAAUGACCAAAAUAUGAUUGAGACAUGAACAUGGACAGACGAUGGCUAGGAACCCAGAACUGCAUAUCUUUCCAAUUUUACUCCAACACCAGGAACUUCCACAGAAAACAGUCCAGAGACUCUCACCCAUGUUGUAUCUUCUUGCCUUCACAAAACUGUAGCUGUAAUAAAGUAAAGAAAACAAAGGGGUUAUUUAUUAGAUUUUUGGUGUUUUAGACUUGGGAAGUAGUACUAAACAUGAGAACCAUCAAUGCAUGCCUAAUAGUUUCAAUUUUCAGUUGAAAUUAAAAGUAAAAUUUAUCAUACAGGACUGAUCUAAACUUAAUUUCACAACCCCAGGUGCCUAAGAUCAGGAGAAAGAAUCCAAGAACAACUGAACUGAGAUUGAAGAGAACUGACUAAAGACAUAGAACACAAGAAAUUGCAGAAAAAAAGUAGGGAGAAUGGGAUCCAAUGGAGAUGAAUCAAACAUGAAAUCAGAAGAAGAUGUGAACAAGUUCAGGAAACUUAUGCAAAACUCCCCAUUUUUCCGUUUGAUUGUUGAGAAAAAUGCUGGAAAGUAAAUGAAAACCUUAAAUCUCAUAACAAGUAGGGGAUGGAGUGGUAGUUUUAAGAUUGCAAAACUUCUUUUCUUUUACCAUGAGUCUCAGUAACCAAACACACAAACAACCCCACUAGAUCUGUUCUCUCAAGCUGAAAGGAUGAACCCAAAAAAUACGAGAACAACAAGAUCAAACACUUACCUUAGGAUACGUUGGACAAUGAUGUCAAACCAAACCAGAUUUUUUUAUUUAAGCUAAAAUUUCAGUCCAAAUUCCAAAUACUGAACAAAGACUUGAGCAUUUAAGGUAGAAAAACAGAACCCAGAAGAGGAAAAUAAUAGAAAAUUAAUAUUCACAAUGCACCGAGUCAGCCCACAAGAAAAUGAAGCGUCAUAUGAAGGACCCAGGAAUUCAAAGCAAUUAAUGAAGAAACAGACAGAAAGAUGGAGCUACUUCAGAGAGUGAAAAGUGAAAACCAUCUUGAACCAAUUAUAGAAAGCACAGAACAUGGUGGUGGACAAAAUAUUAUGCUGAAGAAGUGCUACAAAAUCCAUAUAGGUAAAAAACCUGCAUAGGCCAUCCAGAAUCUCACCAUCCCUCAUCAAAUCUGUCUGUUUUUUCUCCUUUUUUUUCCCUUCUUUUUUAGUGAGCAUAGGUCAUUCAGAAUAUCACUCUGCCUCAUCAAAUCAUGGGUGUUCAUCUCGCCCUCUUCUACACCUCACUGCUCUCUUUCCUUGCAUUAUAUUAAUGUGUUGUUCCACUCAAACGACAAAUCGAGUUGUUCUCAUGCUUCACGAUGUCGUUGUUGAGGGAGAAUAUUAUCAAGUCUCUGUGUAUAUAUUGUUUCUGUCCACUUCUAUGGAAUUGAUUCUCUAGCUAUAUGGUUAGGUUCGACUGAUGGAAUCAUUUCAUUAAUCUCAAAGUCACCCUCAUUCUCUGCUCCAAUGAUUUUAUUUUUAUAUUUUAUAUUAAAAAAUGACAUUCAGACUGACGUGAUCAACAACACCAUCAGAAUUCUCUUAACCCAACCCUGGGCCUACUACCUUAUAAUUUAAGUUUUUAAAACGAUUUUCGAAAAAAUCAUUUUCAAAAAUAAUUUUAUGAUAGUUUUUAAAAUAAAAUUAAGAAUUUGAAUUAUUUUUUAAUCUAUCUUAUAUAUUUUCAAAUAUUUUUUAAAAAUAAUUUUUAUUUAUAAUAUUUUAUUUUUAUUAAUUCUCUGUAUUUAUAUAAAUAUUUCUUAAAACAAUUCAAAAAAAUAAGUAAAAAUAGUUAAAAUAUGUUAUCACAAAAUAUCAAAACAAGUUCUUAAAAAUAUAUUUUUUGUCAAAAAAAUCACUAAUGUUUUUGUGGACCCCGCAUUUUCGGCUCAUGCGUUUCCCACUCGAUGGCGAGCUCGAUUUUUAUUUGAAAAAUGAUUUUUAUUGAUUAAGAAAAUGACUUGGAGUCGCCACUUAUUUUUGUUUUAUUUUUAAAAGGGUAAACAAAAUAAGAAAGAAAAACCCUAAGUGUGACUCUUUAUUUUGGAAAAGACGGUCUACGAAAAAUCGGGUCGAGUUCAGGGGUCAGGUUACUUAUCGGGAAGGUACGGUAAGGACCGUAGCACCCUUCUAAGUCCCUAAAGUCGGGUCUCUACUAAUAAAAUGAAGCAAUCAUGACAAUUGAUGAGGGAAUCAAUGAAUACUUAGAGUGAUCAUGCAUAUGUGAGAAUCUAAACAUGCGUAUAGAAAAUGACCCAAGCGGGUGUGGAUGCGUACCUGGGCAGUGAUCCAUAAAGCGCUAUCAAGAAGUGAAGUUAGCGCACAAUUAAAGAAUAAUUUCGAGCAUGUCAUAGAGCAUAAUAAAAUCGAUCAUGCAUGGCAAUUAAAUCAAACAAACAAUCAAUCAAUCAUGAGGAAAUCACAUGUGUUGGGCCCCCACCAAAACCCGAUUUAUAUUACAUGAAUUAAUCCCAUAAAUUCCAUUAUUCGGAAUUACGAAAAAUUCGUUUCUGCUUAUUAAAGUCAAGAGGAGCAGAAGAUUGUUUGAAAGCCAGAGCGGAAUUAAAACUAUUUGGGAGAAAAUUAGAUUUUUGAAAUUUAUUAGAAAAUUGGAAUCUUGAAGAUCACUAGAAAAUUGGAAUUUAGAAAUUAACUUUAGGAAUUGGAAUUUAGGAAUUAAAUUUUAAAGAAAUUGGAAUGUUGAAAAUUAUUUGAGAGUUUGGAACUAUUAAAUUAUAAAAAUUGGAAACUUGGAAUUCAUUUGAAGGUGAAAUUUUUGAAAAUAAAUAAAUAAAAUGAUGACAAUAAAUAAAUAAAUAAAUAAACAAAUGUGAAAAUUGAAAAUUUAGAAAUUAGAAAUUAAAUUUGAAAAUUGGAAAUCGAAAUUUUGAAGAAUUAUUUAAAAAUGGAAUUUUAAAAAUAAAAUAAUAAUAAUAAUAACAAUAACGAAGAUAGUAAUUAUUAAAUAAAUAAAUAUAAAAAUUGAAAUUUUAGAAAUUGGAAAUUAAAUUUAAAAAAUUAAAAAAAUGAAAUUUCGGAUAUUAGAGUUUUGAAUAUUAAAUUGAGAAAAUGAAGUUUGAAAAAUUAAUUUUAAAAGAAUUCAGAAUUUUAAAAAUUAAAUUUAAAAAUUAAAUUAAGACAUCAACAUAUGAAAGAAUUAAAAAAAAAAAGAAAAAAUUUGAGAUUGGUAGUGGGUUGGUCUUGUCGGUGGUGAUGAUGGAAAUUACAACAUGGAAUGAUGGUUGGCUUUUAUGGAUAAAAAAAAAAAAAAAAAAAACAUUUGACUAAUGAUGAGAACUGGAAAUUGAGACUUUUAAUGGCACUCUCAUAAUAUGCUACUCCCAAAAUCAAAGGCAAACUAAAGUUAGCAUUGAUGGCGUUUUAUGAGAGAGAUAAGUUUCAUGUUCCUGCUGCGCAGACUUGCUGGCAUCCUCUCGUCUCUGCACAGCUCCGCCAAGUACUCCAGCCGAGAUCUUCUUGUCCCUUCACAAAAAUACAUCAGCGUGUUUUCCUUCGCCGAGAACUGUAUGGACCAGCUUCUCCCGUCCAAAGAGGCGGAAAUCCUUGGCUUUGACGGACGACGGCGACGCUGUUUUAUCAGGAUUGGAAACGGAGUCGGACGAUGACGAAUCAUGGCCUUGCAACUCGUUGGUGAUCUUUUCCAGCGAGGAUUCAGAUGCGGCUCUCGAACCUUUGGCGUGUUCAGCCAUUUUUAUCGGACUGGGAUCCGAAACACAGUCCUAUCGUGUCGGCGAAAUGAGAGGGGAAGAUGAUACUUCAGGGACAGAAACAAGAUUCCGAUGAAUGAAAAUGGAGCUGAGAGAGUGGCGACGAUGGAAAGAGAAAUGGGUUCAUAUUAGUGGAAAAAAACAUAUACAGAGUCAAAACCAAACUGCAACCCAUGUCUCUGGUGUCUCAUGAUGGAUAAGACGAAGGCCUUCAUCAGUUUCUCAAGCUGGAUCCAUGGAACAGAGAAAGAACCAACAGCACAAGGGUAUAAACGAACACAUAAAGCAACAAAGACAUCCAGUAGAAUGAUACCCAGAAUAAAAAAAUAUGGUUCACAAUGAACGUACCUGGAGUGCUUCCUGGAGUCGGAUUUGCUCCCCUUCCCCUCAGCUUUCCUGCCCCAGCCCCAAAGAAAUACAUAUAUUUUUUCUCUGCUGGCAGCUUCUUCUCCAAGCUGUCUCUCGCUGCCACCAGCAGCUCGCCUCAUCCCAUCCCAUGGCCGCCCAAAGCAGCUCGUUUCCCGGUGGUCAGAGAAGUAAUCAUAUAAAAAUGGCCAAAAACUCCUCCUCCCCGGUAGGGGGUCUACAGUUUAAUUUUUAAGAAUAGAAAACUAUUUAAAAAAUGAUUUCUAAACAAGCUUUAGCUUUGAAGUUGGUAUCAUUCUAGAAACAUAAGGUUAUGUUUAAUUUUUGAAAAGCAAUAGAGAAAUAAAAAAAAUAUUAAAGAAAAUGAUUUUUUUAAUAUUUGAUUUCAUUACAAAAAAAAUGAAAGAAAAUCAAGUAUAAUUAAAAUUAAUUAAAAAAUUAUUUGUUUUUAAAUUAUUUUAAUCUAUAUAAUGAAGGGAAAUAAAUGAAAUAAAUUUGAAGAAGUAUAUAAAAAUAAUUUAAUAAAUUUAUUUAAAUCUGUUUUUUUUUUCUUCCUUUUUUUUCUUUCCUCUUACUUUUUUAGUUGCAUUUUUUUCUCAAAUUUUUCGGUAAUCAAAUAUAGUUUAAAGGUUAGUAUACAUUAUUAAACAAUUAAUGAAUAACUUAAACUUUUGGUUUAAAUAGAGUGGGUUUAGUUUAAGAAUAUUAACUAUUUGUAAACUUGUUAGUUUUAUUUUUUAUUUUUUAUUUUUUAAAAUUCUUUGCAGUUUCAAAUAUUUCCUAUUGAAGUAAUUUAAUGGGAGUUAAAUAUAUUAUAAAGGAAAACAUUUUCGAAGUUGAAGUCUCUACAUGCAGUGAUAUAAACUAACACUUCAAACACAUUCAUACAUGCUCUACCCUUAAUUAGUCGAAAAUUUAAAGAGACUGAUUAUGUUAUUGAAAUUUUCAAUUUUAAACUUUGAUAUAUAUAAUUAAAUUAACUAUUAUCUUAUUUUUAAUUUUUUUAAUGCUUAAAAAAAAUAUUGAGGAAAAAAAAGAAAAAAAAAUAGAUUUUACAUUAAUAAAUUAUUUUUAUUUGUUUUUUCAAAUUUAUUUAAUUUAUUUAUAUAUAUAAAGAUUAUAUAAUUUUAAAAACUAUAAUGGUAUAUUCAUUUUUAAUUAUAUUUUAUUUAAAAAAAAUCUAUGAUAAAUUAAAUAUAAGUGACUUAUUUUCUUUAAUAUUUUUUCUAUAUUUUUAUGCAACUUAAAUCAUGAUGAAAAAGAAAAAGAAAAAGAAAAAAGAAAUAUUGGUCAUAUUUUAUGCAUGAUAAAGAAAAAUUUCUUUGGGUGUGAUUUAAACUUUAAAAAAAAAACCAAUUUAUUUUCAUGUUGGGUUAUUUGGUUAGAAGGAUGAAAUAAUUCUCAAUUAAAAAUUUUUUUUUUAAUAAAAAUAAUUUUAUCUUUUAAAACUUAUUGGCAGAUUAUCUAAAUAUUGAUCUCAAAAAUGUAUUAUUUUUAAAAUUUUAAAAUUUAAAAUUAUUUCAUCCUUUUAAUCAAUUUAUUUUAAAAAAUUCUCUUUAAUUUGGUUCAAUCUUUUCAAUGGACCUCAACUUUCCAUAUUGGUAGAUACCUUGAGAAAGAUGUCUGCCAAUCAAGGUCAUGAAGCAAGGCAUCCAAAACUCCUUAGCAGAUAGAAUUAUUAUUUUGAAGUUUAAGAAUGAGAAAAUGACAUCAUUUGUAAUUAAUUUUUGGUUUUGUAAGAUUAAGAAUGAGAUUAGAAAAUAUACUUUUGGAUGGAAUAUUAUAAUCGUAUUAAUAUAUUUAGAUUAAAAUAAUUUAUUUAGAUUGAAUAUUUUAUACCUAAUCUCUAAAUGUAGCGAUGGAAUAUACUCAUAUUUGAUUCUAAUAAAGUGAUAGGAAGAAAGAAAACUCGGAAAAAAAUGAUCUUUUAAAAAAAUACAAAAUUAAAUUAAAUUAAUUAAAAUUUAAUAUACUUUUAAAUUAUUUAAUAUUCACAAGACUUUAUUUAAUUUAUGCUCCAAUAAUACACAAAAAUGCAAAUUAAUUAAAAAUCAAAUAACUUAUUUUUUAAAGAAAACGUAAAUUACAAAUUUCAUGAUGUUUCAUUUUACACAAAAAUGAAAGAUUAAAAAUGGUUUCUAAUUUGUCCUUACAAAAAAUGUGACAUUAGGUGGAUUCCUUGAGACAUGGUGGACUGAUUGGUACCUAAGUUAUGAUGAUGUCUUCUCAUACAUUUCUUUUAAACUCAUCAAAUCAUUAAAGGGAAUGUAUCUAAUAAAUUUAAAAAGAAAUUCCUCACUUUUUUUCUUAUUAACAUUUGUUUUAUCUUUCAUUCCUUAUGAAUUCUAAAUUAAUGUUUUCUUUGUUAUAAUUAUUAUGAAUGGACAUCCACAUUAAUUAGUCUUUGACAAUUUAUUUGUGAAAAUGUAUUUAUAGCAAAAAAAACAAAUCAUGCCUAAAAUCAGGUCAAAUUGUUUUAAUUAUUCAAAUUGACUUUUUAAUUAGUAAUAAGAUUAAGUAUACAAGUCUUAUUUGGCUGUUCUAGGAGUAACUAUUGAUGAAUAUUAUGGCAAAUUUUUUUACUAAAGAGAUUUAUUACCAUGAUAUUAAAGAAGGUGAAUAAAUUUUUUUCUUAAAGUCUCAAAGAAUGAAGCAACAAUAGAUCAUGAUCCCAAAAUCUCUAUCAAUUUCUUCCAUCUUUAUAUUUCCAAUUAAAAGCGUAGUAACUUGGUUAUAAUUAGAAUAUCUUUCUAGUUUGUGUUUAACUAACUAAAAAGGAAAAAAUAUUUUUUUGUUAUGCGGUUCAUUUUAUACUAGGAAUUACCUUUAAAGUGUUUUUAUAAAAAUUUAUGAUAAUUUUAGUAUUUUAAAAAAUUUUCAUUGAACAUAAGUCUAGUUUUUCGAUUGUGUUAUAGGAGUUUUAUCUAAUAAGAUCAUGUCUGAUAUGUUUUUUACCGUAAAGAAGUGGAAGUAGAAAUGAUUACUUUUGUUAUAUAAUUGAUUUUAUAUUUAAAACUAUAUUUUAAAAAUAUGUUUAGCAAAUAUAAAAAUAAUUUAUAUUUUUUAAAAAUUAAUUAAAUAAAGCUUUGAUUCUAACAUCAAAGCAUUUACAUUUUCAAAAAAUUGAUGAAAAAUUGAUGAUCAAGAAAUCUAAGAAGAAUUAUCUUUGGUAUUUAAAGGAUGAUUUUAAAGUUCAAAUGACUCCCAAGUGAAACUUGAAUGCAAUCAAAGCCUAUAACACCAUUGGAAAUAUUAUUAUUUCAUUAUUUUAUUUAUAAAAAUUUGCACUCUACUACAAAAUAAUAGAACUAUAUAGUAGUUUUAUUAUAUAUAUGUGACUUGAGUCAUAACUUGGGUUUUGGUAUGACUUAGGUGGAAAUUGUUUUUUUUGGUUUUUUAGUUAAAGUAAUUUGUUUUCAGAAUUUAUGCUGUUUAUUUUUCUAUUUUUUCAUAAUUUAUUAUAAAUUUUUUACUAAAUAAAAAAAGUCAAAAUAUAUUACUUUUUUUAAAUAGAAAAAAUAACAUAUUUGAAAAUGUGAAUCUCAAUAAUGAACUACACCUAGAGGGGGGUGAAUAGGUGUUGUAGAACAAUUUAAAAAUUCUCUCAACAAAGAUUACCUAACCUUAGACUAUCUUAAUGUCAAGAAUUUUUUUCUUCCAAUAACUUUUCAACAAAGCAAAACAUCCACAAGCAAUAAUGUAUACAUCAACACUCUCCCAACAAUUUAUCAAUGUAAAACACAUGCAAAUGCUUCAACACUCCUAAAAAAUAAAUCAAAAUAUAGAGUGAGAGAAAGAGACAAUGAACACCGGAUUUUUAACGUGGAAAACUUCCGAAGAGAUCAAAAACCACGGGCCUAUCACCGAUUGAAAACUCCACUAUGAAGAAUAAAAACUGAGUACAAGGUUUUACCUAACUCAAGCCAAUCAAUCCUUCCCGGAAUACUUGACUAGUACCUUCAUUUUCAGCUUCUCCUGUUGGAGCACACUUGGAGUCCGCACCAAGCUCAAUCUCGGCCUCUUCUUGAAUCCACACAAGAAGAAAAUGGGUUUUUACAUAAACCCAAAUAGAAUGAGAGAUUGAGAUGUGAAUGAAGGAAUGAAUCAACCCAUUUAUUGCUCAAGAAAAUCCAUUGAAAACUAGUUUGGAAAAUAUUAAGAGAAGUGGAUUUUCUUUGCAAUCAAAAACCCUAAAUUAGGAAAGCAAAAAUGAGAAAAUGAAGAACACUUGGAGUGUGGCUGCUCUCCCCACGUUUUCUGCAGUCUCUCUUACCAGAAAAUGAGAGAAGAUUGGUUUUUAAAGUGUAAAAAGAAACCCUUAAUCUAAUGGCUGAGAUUUGAUCAAAAAAACAUUAGUUGGAUAGAUCCACCCCUACACUUGGAUCGAUCCAGAAACAGAAGAAUGAAAGCUUUGCACCAAAAACCAUUUUUCUCAACUUUCUAACACAUUUAAAGAUUAAAAACCGGGUUGAUUCACACUCAAUCACUCCACACUUGACUACAUAUCUCGGCCUCUUAGCAAAGUCUUAGUUUUCAAAGUCAAGUAGUACAAAUAGGAAUAGGAAAGCCGAGUUAGGGGACACUUAGGAAUUUUGUCCGGAAUUGCCAACCUAGCUAAACACUCACAAUAUUGAUUUUUUUUUUUAAUACUUAAUAGAAAUAAAAUAUUAUAAAAACAAACAACCUAAUAUUUAAUACUAUUAAACAUUAAGUACCUAUUUAGAAUUAAGUAAAAAAACAAACACCACCUUAACCAUAGUAUCAUUUGGGCUUCCAUGACUACCCUGUAGCAACUGGACAAUAGAUGCUAUGGUCCAUGACUACUCUUUAACAAGAGACUUCCGAUAAAACAGGACCUAAAAAACCAUAACAAUCCAGCUCAUCAUGCAGCAACCUGACCAAAGAGCCGCUUGCGAAGCUGCAGUGGGAAGAAAACAAGAAAAUGGUUAAAGAAGAAUGGCCACACAUGGAUAAACUAAGGCUAUCAUUCACCAUCAAAUUUGAGAGACACAUGCCCAUAUAAGAUGAAUGCAGCAGAUAAUCUAAAGAUGAAAUAUCCAAUUGACUGAUAAUUGGGUAUAUAAACCAAUUAACUGGGAAAAAAAAAUGAACUUAAGAAGGAUGAAUACCCCUGGAAGUUUUUUUAUGAAAUACAACAUCCAAUCUUGCAUCAAGGGUGUUCUCCCAUAAAAUUUUUCUACCAGAGGGAUUUUCCAUCACUUUUCUUUCAACAAAAGCUGUUUCAUCCAUGUUUAUAUAUUUCCCACAACCAGUCCGAUAUAAAGAGUAAAAGAUGCAUGAGUUAUAUAUUAUUUUUUUGAAAAUGAAAGAUCAGCCAGCAGUCUCACAGAAAGAGUACAUUUGUACCUUUACAAACCUUUCCACUACAUAACAACUGUUAGUAAGCAAAACAGACCAUAUGCCCACAAAAAAUGGGAGGAUCAAAGUUUACGCUUCUGCCAGUGAUCCAUUUCCAAUACCUCAAGUUAGUGUUUAAGUCCAUGAUCUAGGUUUCUUUCUUUUUUCUUUUUUUAUUUAUUUUCCUUUUUUUUUAAGGUAAUAAAAAGAGAACACCCUGGUCUGCUCAACCUGUUUGGGCAAAGUAAAAUUUGGGCAAAUUAGCUGAGUUUAUAUUGACCUGAACCACAAGAUCUUUGAGAAGCCUUUUAUAGACAUGGUGAUCAUGUCCAGAGACGAUGUUUUAAAAUGCAAUUCAUUAUUGCAUAUUGAUACUAUCCAGUAGGUAGAAGUAGAACCGUAGAACAACUCAUAACUGCAAAAGCAUACCAUUAGCCUUCAAAGCCUGUUUAAGUUUCAGAGCCAAUCUCCUGAGGCGUUACUGCCAUUUGAAGAUCGAGACCAGUACUCCGUGACAAGCUGCCCAAACAGCGAUCCCUCCUUCUUUAUCAGUUUCAUUGGCACAUCGUACUCUACUAAUUUUCCUACGGAAGCAAAAGCACUAGUUAUUUGAAUUUGUUUUACCAUAUUGAUCCCAACUAGAAUGAAAUGUUCCUUCGUAGAAACUCACCGUCACUGAUAGCAAGCACCAUUGUGCAGUCCAUCACGGUUGGGAUUCUGUGGGCUACUGUAAUUACAGUGCAGUCUGCAAAUUCUGUUCUUAUGGUCUUCUGGAGAAUGGAGUCUGUUGCAUUGUCUAUAGAUGCAGUGGCUUCAUCAAGCACUAGUAUCCGACUUCUCUUCAGUAGGGCACGUCCCAAGCAGAAUAAUUGUCGCUGGCCCAUGCUCCAAUUUGAUCCGUCAUGUACAACUGUAGGGCAGACAGAUUGUUAGCAAGAGUUUUUGAAUCCAAAGAAUGGUACCAGUGUGUUUUAUGUUUCAUACCUAAGGAGUCCAGGCCCUCUUCUUUCUCUUGAACAGCCCCUCGAAGUUGACAUUUUCCCAGAACCUUUCACACAUUCAUGAGAAACAAUCUUAGUGUAGGAUAUAAAGUAAAUUUACCUUAUUAGGAAUCUGUACUUUUUGAAGGGACUACCACGACAAAUAUUUGGUAUGGAAAGAAAAUUAGGAGGUAUUUAAUAGCACUCUAAAACAUCAUUGUGUUCCAAAACACAGAAUAUCAGGAGCUCGAUCAAUGACAAUGGAAUUCAAAAUCUGACAGCGUUUAAUUAGUUUGUUAGUGUAGAAACUGCAAUGUCUAUGCACUUAAGAGUGAAGCCUGCUUCAUAUCACUGGCAGAAUCUUUUGGAGAUCUGUAACAUAUCAUGAUUGAAUCCUAAAAUUAGCAACCACAACAAAUUAAUAGGAAACUAACCUCCCAUAUUUCCUCAUCAGUAUGCAGCGAUAAAGGGUCAAGAUUGUAUCUUAUAGACCCGCUAAACAGAGUUGGUUCUUGUGGAAUGAUCCCAAGACGUGAUCUGAGAUCAUGAAGCCCAAUUGUGGAAAUAUUUAUGCCAUCUAUAAUUAUCUGUCCCUCUGUAGGCUCUACCAAGCGAAACAAAGCGCUGAUAAGAGUUGUCUUUCCACUACCAGUCCGGCCAACGAUCCCAAUUUUCUGUCCUCCUCCAAAUUUGCAACUGAUUCCUUGAAGAACUAGAGGAGCAUUGGGCCGAUACUUGACCUGCUCAAUGUCAUUUCAUCUACUAUAUUAAUCUCUAUAAAUCUUGAAGUUGUAGAACAGAAACAGAUACCCAAAUUCUUACUGAUUUCACCAUACCUUCAAAUCAUAAAUUUCCACUUCACCAAUAGUAGGCCAACUGGGUGGCGGUCGAUUACUCCCUAUGACUUCAGGGGCUUCGCUAGGAAUAUUCAUGUACUGUUCUAAUCUUUCAACAGAAACAAUCAUAUUUGCUAAAAGGCACUGGCUUUGGGCAGAAAAUACGAAGAAUACAUUCACUGAAAGGCCAUACGAUAAUGCCAUUCCAAUAAAUCCUGCCAUCAGAACAUUGACGACGAAAAUGCUCAUUAGACAAUAAUACCAUAAAUGGUUGUCAAUUACUAAGAUUUCUUUAAAUAUCACAUUGACCAAGCUGUUUUUGAAUAUCAAAUACUGUGCACGUAGGAAGUUAGUAGAAGGGUUUUUCUUUUGGAUUAUGCACUGAUCUGUUUGUAUGAUUAUUGUGUAAGAAUCAUGGACUUGUUAGCUCACUUUGUUCUUGAUAUAACCCAAGUUUCUAGUUAUGAUGUUGAGAAAGUUGGAGCUAAAAUGGGUUUAUUAUAGUGAUUUUUUAUUACUACCAACUGGGCAGCUGUUGUUUCAUGAUCUACAAAGCCCUAUCUUGUAUUCAUUUCACUCCACUCAUCAAGGUCAAGUAGGAAACUAAGAUAGGUAACUUUCCUAUUUAAUGUUGGAUAUUUUAUUGGAUUUUAGGUCAUUACUGAAGUGCCUCUAAAUAUUUCAUUCUCCUGAAGUUCCUUCUUUUCAGUGAGAAAUAUGAAAAUUUAGUGGAGACCCUGGGUUGUAGAUCUCUUUCUUUUACAGUUAAAAACAUAUGCUAUCUAGCAAGCAGUCAUAGCAGGCAACAGAAAAGCAGUUUUUGUCUUGAGGUUUUGAUCCUUUUGGAGAAUUUACCAUUUGUGGCCAUAAUCAGACACUUCAUAUUUAUCAUUUUCUGGUUGUAGAUCUUACCUACUGAAAAAUCCUAAUGGUAUCCUCUUGUAAGGAUCAAAAUUCACAUGAUCAAUUACUAUUCUCAAAGUUGCACAGGCCCCCUUAGGUUAAACAUGUUAUAAACUUCUAGGGAGUUAAAACUGUUGAAAUUAGACCAAAGAGAGUUUUAAGCAACUGCAAGGACAAUUGAAGGAUCUGGCAUGGACCUUCUAAUUUUGUGUCCAUUCUCAUUGGUCAUAUAGUUAGCCUCGUGAGUAAAUUCAAACUAUCUUGGAUUUUGCCUAGUUUGUUGUAUCAACUAAUGGAUAGUUGAGCAUGCAGGGUUAGGUACAGGAAGGACCUGUAAUUUCGGUAGUGUCUUUAGUUUGUAGUUUAGUACCCUUAUGGAAUCCUCUAGGAAAGAAAGAGAUAAGAGUAUUUUUGGUUUUUUUUUCUUUUGGAGACGGAAGGUUUUGUUAUUAGCAUCCACAAAUGGGGUAAAAUGGCAGAUCUCUAGCUGAUAUUGGGCAUGCUAGUUCAGGUCAUUAGGCCAGUGAUCCGGGUGGCUCCUAUGAGAUAAAUCUUCAAGUUGCUGCAAGUUAAAAAUGCAAUAGGGUGAUGGAAAGGCUGAAUGUAACAUGGGUGGAAUUCAUAAAAAAGAUAAAAAUCUCAAUAUUGAAUGGUGACUUGUCUUACUAUCAAGCCAAAUGGCUGGAAAGGAUCAUUGUAAUUAAACCAAGGUUGUGAUCAAAUGGUACUUGUAGAGGAACGAAUUUACGAUUUCAUCUUAGAGAAUUGAUAGUUAGGAGUGUUCAAGCAAACUAACAAAUUCAAAUGUAAUCGAGCUGUAUAAACUAGUGCCAAAAACACCUACCAGAUUUAGAAGAACUCGUAUGAAGCAAUGUUAGGGCAAGGGCUGAAGAUGAGAGAACGAUAGCACAUAGUAUUUCAAGGCGUUGGAUCAACCACUCAUUUGCUGUGAAACUGUAGAAGAAUGGACUUGCAUUUAUGUCAAUGAAGUCCAAAUUCUUUGAAAAGUGUCUAUCUUCCUCCCCGAAAGCUCUAAUUGUCAUAGCACCGGCAAUGGACUCAGCAAGAUGGCUUGCAACAAAGGACUUCGUCGUGCCAUUGAUUCGCAUCAAUUCUUUUCCAGCAGCAAAGUAGUACCUCUGGUUGUUAAAAUGAAAACAAACAUGAUCAAUUGCUGAGAAGCCAAGAGAAGUACAAAAUAUCUUACAGGGAACACACGCCUAAAUGAGGAGGGAAGCAGCUGCCUCUACUACAUCUAUGAAAACAUGAGACAGCAGUGUAUUACCUGGAUGAGUAUACUAAGAUAAAUUGUUGGUAAAAUGACAAACACAAGUUCCCAGGCAAGAAUAGCCAAUACUCCAAAACUGGCAUAAGUAGUCACAGCUGCCCCAAUAGCAAAAGUAAAUUUGAAGGCCAUAUCAAGGUCAACCACACUUAAAUCAGAAGAUACCUACAAAACGACAAUAAAAAAAUAAGUCUUCUGUUGUUUGUAAUAUGCAUAUAUUUUAAGCAUCUUACCCGACUGAGUAUCCUUCCCAGAGGUGUCGAGUCAUAAAAGGACAUUGGUGCUCGAAAAAGGGAGCUCAGCAGUGUAGAAAAAAUAGAUUGCGAUGCCCCAAGGCCUACAACAACAACAAAAAAUGAUCGGAGCAACAAAAAUAUUGAUAAGCUUAAUCCAAUCCCUGUGUAUACUGCAAUCAGUUUCAAUUGGCUAACACUAGGAUUCUGGACAUUUGCAGCCAACCAAUAGUUUUGCACCAACUGCGCAACAAUGAAUAUGAUAUGAGAUAGAUUUGCCAAAAAGAAGUAGAACAAUCCCUUGCUAUAUUUCAAGUAUUGUAGGUAAGGCUUCAGACCAGUGUCUCCCGUUUCUCUUUCUUCUUUCUUAAUUAACUGUUCUCCUAAUGAAUCUCUUAACUGUUUUUCGCUGUCAAUCUUUUGUAUCUCUCCCUUCGGAAUUUUAGACUUCUGGGUAGAAUCAUGCUCAGGUUGCCUCUCAGAACCAACUGUGGCAUUGUGUGCAAUGAUAAGGUCCUGGAACUCUUGACUAGAGUGCAUCAGCUGGUCAAAGGUAGCAGCUUGCAGGAUCUCCCCUUCGGACAUUAACUGCCAAUAAAAUUAGUCAUUUGAACUGUUUGAUUUAAAAGCAUCUGUUACUCAAAGAUUGCCUUCCAGAUUUAGAGAUUAUUUGUUAAGAAAGGAAAAUGAAGUCAAAUCAGAGUUAAAGAAGGAUAUCCAAGAAAGUAACUGUACUGACCAAAACCGAAUCGAAUGCAGGGAGGAAGUCCACUUGGUGGGUCACAAGUAUGACUGUCUUCAUUGAUAGAGCUCCCAUGACAUAUUCCUGGCCACAACAGGCAUUAGCGUUCACUCUGAAAGCAUAGCAUAAUUUCUGACAAAGGAGAACUGUACUUACAUUAAAUAGAUUGGUUGCAGUAUGUGCAUCAACCGCACUAAAUGGAUCAUCCAGGAGAUAUACAUCUGCAUCCCGAUAUAAAGCACGUGCAAGUUGAACCCGCUGUUUCUGUCCACCACUCAGAUUAACACCUCUUUCUCCUAUUUCAGUGAGAUCACCGAAUGGAAGCAUCUCAAGGUCCUUCACUAGGGCACACUUCUCAAUAGCCUCUCUGUAUCUGUAAGGAUCCAUAGCAGACCCAAACAGAAUAUUUUCUUGUAUUGUCCCUGUUGGAAUCCAUGCUGUCUGAGAGACGUAAGCAAUCUUCCCAUAAACUCGAACCUGGAAAAGAUGGAUCCAGAAUCUGUAUUAAGACAUUUGUCUAAGUAAGUCUCCUAGAACCUUUUAGGACUCAUGAAGUUUUCUACCUUCCCUGUUUUCUUCCAUGAUGUUAAUAUCUACCAAAUGAAGUGUGUAUAAAUCAGGAAUGAUGCAUUACUUCUUCAGUUUUUAAGUUUGUUUUCUUUUGUAUUCCUACUUAGGAAACCAUGAAAGAAUAUAAAAAUUCUCUGCCGCUUUGUUGUAAUUCAUCUCAGAACAACUGUGCACAAAGUAGCUGUUGAGUAUUUAUUCUAGUCCCAUGGAUGAGGAAGAAAAUGGAAUUGAAAGGGGUACUUACUAUGCCAUUAACGUGUGGAACUUCUCCAAGAAUAGCAGCUAAUAGUGUCGAUUUACCUGAGCCAACCUCUCCACAAAUAGCUACCUUUUCCCCAGGCUUAACCACCAAAUUUAUGUUUCGUAGAGUAGCCCUUGUAGAGUUAUCCUCCCAUGAAAUUCUUUUGCUCUUGAUAAAAACGGAUUCUGCGAGCUCCAUCCCAUCACACAUCUUCCUUACAUGUUUGUUCUGCAGCUCUGGUGCAUCAAGAAACUUUGCAAUCCGAUCUAACGAAACCAUGGCCUCAAUGAAUGCUGAAAUGACAUCAGGGAUUAACCUAAUUGGCUCCUGGGCAAUGCACAAACUUGCCAUAAAUGUGAAAACAUUGCUAGCAGAGAGAGUAGUUCCAAGAAAGUAGCAUGCCCAGAAAGUAACAGCUGAUACUACAAUGGGAGAUGACCAAAACAGAAUCAGAUUGUACCCUUUCUGUGACAGAACUGACAAUAACCACUUGAAUUCCUCUUUCCUUAACCGUUCUAUGACAUUCUUGAAAUGAGUCUCCCAAGCAUACAGCUUCAGACUUUUCAUGUUUGUAAGUGCCUCUGCAAAAGCCUUCAGCCUCUUGUCCUGUGUUCCCAUGAGCAUUUUCUGGUACUUAUGUUGUAACCUUCCCAUAGGAGAGUUUGCAACAACAGUCAAUAUUACUACAAACAGAGCUGCUAUAGUUGCAAGCCCCACCGAAUAGUAAAUAAUAAUCAAUGCCAGACACAACUGGACGCUUGUUGACCAGAUCUGGUGAAACCAGUACGGGUAUUCACCUAUGUUGUAAGCAUCAAUAGUAACAAAGUUUAUGAUCUGACCAGGGGAAUAUGACCCCUUUGCAGCAUUUGAGAGCUUAAGCUGCUUCUGAUAGAUGGCUGCAGAUAGAAACGAUCUCACUUGGAGCCCAAUCAAUCUAGUUCGAAAGAACCAUUGCCUCUCUGAUAACGAUUCUAAGCAUUUAAUAAGAAAGAGCCCUCCUGUCAGUGCAUAACCUUCGUACUUAAAAGCUUCUCUGCCUUCAGCAACCAGGAUGAAGGCUCUAAGAAACAGAGGGCCAGUAGAAAGUGUUAGCACCUUCAUCAAUGCAAAGAAGCCAGAAAUCAAAAUCUGUUUCCGUUGCCACAACAAUAUAGUCGACAAAAUGGAAGGGGAGUCAGAUGACUGCUUUUUCUGCUUGUUCUGCUGUUCCAUGAACAUUAAGUAACACAUUUCCGCUCGAUCUUCCCUUCUUAGCUGUGGAAUGUCUUUGUCCUCGAGAGUUUUCUGCUUACCUUUCUUCAUCAACGAAUUCAACCACCAAAAUGACAGUCUACUAAUAAGCCCAGCUUUCUCAAAAGGAGGUAAGCUGGCAUCUGUAUUGAUUUUAUCACCACCACUGCCUCCUUCGCCUGGCAAAGGUGUAUAGAAGGCAGCACCAUCAAAUCCUGAAUCAGUUCCUGCAUAUUUUGGUUCCGAGAAAGUGCAGAACAUCAAUAGAAUCGCUCCAGGAAAAGAUAUAACAUCUAAAAUCACCUUAACUGAUACUGCAUCGCCCACAAUAGCUUCCCAGAAAGAUGUAACACAGGUAAAACCUGCAAUAGAGAAUGCAAGUACUGAACAGAGCCUCAGCCCUGCAUUAUGUAGAAGUUGAUGCCUCUUAAACCUCACAGCUAAACCCAGAAAAAACCAGGUGAAGCCUUGUAAUAAAACCACUAGCCACCCAUGCAGAGGUAGAAUGGUGUUCUCUUUAGUCAGCUUCUCUCCCACAAUCCAGAACCCCAAACCCAGAUAAACCAACCCUAAAC
rnacentral:lncRNA from 1 species